rnacentral:tRNA from 1 species
CAACCGAAGCAAAGUCUUGCAUCAAGUUUCGACCUUGAAAUCUUAGGGUUUCCUACGGUAGUA